rnacentral:rRNA from 1 species
GUGCAGCAGGCGCGAAUCUUCCACAAUGGGGGAAACCCUGAUGGAGCGACGCCGCGUGCGGGAUGAAGGCCCUAUGGGUUGUAAACCGCUGUUCAGUGGAAAGAACAUCCUCCGGCUGAAUAGGUCGGAGGCCUGACGUUACCACUGGCAGAAAGUCCGGCAACUCCGUGCCAGCAGCCGCGGUAAUACGGGGGGACGAGCGUUGUCCGGAAUCAUUGGGCGUAAAAGGGCGCGUAGGCGGCGAGGAAAGUCGAAUGGUGAAAUCUUGCGGCUCAACUGCAAAACGUGCGUUCGAAACUUCCUACGCUUGAGUAUGAGAGAGGUGUGCGGAAUUCCGUGGUGUAGCGGUGGAAU